GACGAACGCUGGCGGCGUGCUUAACACAUGCAAGUCGAACGGAAAGGCCCUGAUUUUGUGGCUUGCUCGAGUGGCGAACGGGUGAGUAACACGUGAGUAACCUGCCCUUGACUUUGUGAUAACUUUAGGAAACUGGGGCUAAUACCUCAUAGGAUCUCCUGCUCCAUGGUGGGGGUUGGAAAGUUUCGGCGGUUGGGGAUGGAGUCUCGGCUUAUCGGCUUGUUGGUGGGGUAGUGUCUUACCAAGCCUUUGACGGGUAGCCGGCCUGAGAGGGUGACCGGGGCCAUGGGGACUGAGAGACGCACCAGACUCGUACGGGAGGCAGAAGUGGGGAAUAUUGCGCACUAGGCGGAAGCCUGAUGGAGAGACGCCGCGUGCGGGAUGACAGCCUUCGGGGUGUAAACCGCUUUCGCAUGAGACGAAGCGUGAGUGACGGUAAUGGGUAAAGAAGCACCGGCUAACUACGUG
rnacentral:rRNA from 1 species